rnacentral:misc_RNA from 1 species
AAACACAGAAAUUCACUGAAAUUGGUGUGUAUACAAGCAAAUGGCAUGCGAUCUCUGCAAUCAAGUUUGUUUUCUGUUCAUCACACUCUUUGUUCCUUGUUUAAAAAGUCAAAGAAGAAGAAGAAACGGAAAGAUUUGUGGACAUGGAGGAUCGUUGAAGAAGGUGAGCGGAAUGGCAUUCGGAUGAGAAACUGGAUCUCAACAUUUAUGGGACCGCGUAAUCGGCCAAUACCGCGUGUGCCAGUGUGUUCCCGUUCUCAAAAUUACACCGCUACCCACCCAAGCCUAACUGUGUUGGUG